rnacentral:rRNA from 1 species
AUUGAACGCUGGCGGCAGGCUUAACACAUGCAAGUCGAGCGGGGUGAUGGUGCUUGCACUAUCACUUAGCGGCGGACGGGUGAGAAAUGCUUAGGAAUCUGCCUAUUAGUGGGGGACAACAUCUCGAAAGGGAUGCUAAUACCGCAUACGUCCUACGGGAGAAAGCAGGGGAUCACUUGUGACCUUGCGCUAAUAGAUGAGCCUAAGUCGGAUUAGCUAGUUGGGGGGGUAAAGGCCUACCAAGGCGACGAUCUGUAGCGGGUCUGAGAGGAUGAUCCGCCACACUGGGACUGAGACACGGCCCAGACUCCUACGGGAGGCAGCAGUGGGGAAUAUUGGACAAUGGGGGGAACCCUGAUCCAGCCAUGCCGCGUGUGUGAAGAAGGCCUUAUGGUUGUAAAGCACUUUAAGCGAGGAGGAGGCUCUUUUGGUUAAUACCCAAGAUGAGUGGACGUUACUCGCAGAAUAAGCACCGGCUAACUCUGUGCCAGCAGCCGCCGUAA